rnacentral:rRNA from 1 species
CNGGUAAUACAUAGNCCUCGAGCGUUAUCCNGGAUUUACUGGGCGUAAAGCGUGCGUAGGUGUCUUGGCAAGUCUCUGGUGAAAUCUCCGGGGCUCAACUCGGAAACUGUCAGAGAAACUGUUAGGAUUGAGUGUCGCAGAGGCAGACGGAAUGCUUGGUGUAGCGGUAAAAUGCGUAGAUAUCAAGCAGAACACCGAUGGCGAAGGCAGUCUGCUGGGCGAUCACUGACACUGAGGUACGAAAGCGUGGGGAGCGAACGGGAUUAGAUACCCCGGUAGUCCACGCCGUAAACGAUGGGUACUAGGUAUCUGGGGCAUAGACCCCCUGGGUAUCGAAGCUAACGCGUUAAGUACCCCGCCUGGGGAGUACGGUCGCAAGACUAAAACUCAAAGGAAUUGACGGGGACCCGCACAAGCGGUGGAGCGUGUGGUUUAAUUCGACGGUAAGCGAAGAACCUUACCAGGGUUUGACAUCCCGGGAAUCCCUGAGAAAUCGGGGAGUGCCGCAAGGAGCCUGGUGACAGGUGCUGCAUGGCCGUCGUCAGCUCGUGUCGUGAGAUGUUGGGUUAAGUCCCGCAACGAGCGCAACCCUUGUCGUGUGUUGUAUUUUUCACGCGAGACUGCCUCGGUUAACGAGGAGGAAGGUGGGGAUGACGUCAGGUCAGCAUGGCCCUUAUACCCUGGGCGACACACGCGCUACAAUGGCCGGUACAACGGGUUGCGAAAUCGCGAGAUUGAGCUAAUCCUAUCAAAACCGGUCUCAGUUCGGAUUGGAGUCCGCAACUCGACUCCAUGAAGCCGGAAUCGCUAGUAAACGCGGAUCAGCCACGCUGCGUUGAAUACGUUCUCGGGUCUUGUACACACCGCCCGUCAAGUCACGAAAAUCGGUAAUGCCCGAAGCACUCUUAGCCAACCUUUGGAGGCGGAGUACCACGGCAAGAUCGGUAAUUGGGACUAAGUCGUAACAAGGUAUCCGUAGCGGAAGCUGCGGCUGGAUCCC